AGUAAUGCGUGACCAACCUCGCCCCAUGCUCCAGAAUAGCUCUUGGAAACGGGUGGUAAUGCUGGAUGCUCCAACUUGACGCAUGUCUUGUUGGGAAAGUGUUUAGUGGCAUGGGAUGGGGUCGCGUCCUAUCAGCUUGUAGGCGGGGUAAUGGCCCACCUAGGCUUCGACGGGUAGCCGGCCUGAGAGGGCGGACGGCCACAUUGGGACUGAGAUACGGCCCAGACUCCUACGGGAGGCAGCAGCG
rnacentral:rRNA from 1 species